UACGUAGGGUGCAAGCGUUAAUCGGAAUUACUGGGCGUAAAGCGUGCGCAGGCGGUCUUGCAAGACAGGUGUGAAAUCCCCGGGCUUAACCUGGGAACUGCACUUGUGACUGCGAAGGCUGGAGUACGGCAGAGGGGAUGGAAUUCCGCGUGUAGCAGUGAAUGCGUAGAUAUGCGGAGGACACCGAUGGCGAAGGCAAUCCCCUGGGCCU
rnacentral:rRNA from 1 species